CCUGGUUGCUGCUUGAACUACACUAUCUAGGUGUAAUUAAAAACUCUCUUGAGUCCCUACUGUCAUCAGUAAGUUAAAUCUCCAUUACAACUACACCGUCCUAACAUCCUACUCCAUCCGAGGGAGGAACGAGAUGGCUUGAUUUGGAGUGGAAUCUACCACGAGAGCAAUUCACUGUGGCUAAGAGAAUGGAGUCCCACCAAAAAUAAGGCCACCUUGGGCAGUGACAAGAUUUUCGGUUCUUUGCAUUUUAAUAGUCUCUGCCUCUGGAAGUAACAAGCAAGCUUCUGUGAAGAACCCAUUGCAAAUGUAUUCCUAAAAGCUCGGCUCUUCACCUUUCAAGGAAUGGAACUCAUGAAAUUGAGUAAACAAAUUGCGGGAUGGCAUGCCACAUUCAUUCAGAAAACAUGCUGAUUACUCAGCAAAAUGGCGUUUAGCACCACAAAGGAGCCAAGGACGGAGCAGCUACAUCAAAUCCUCAAUGGAAUCCGAUAUCCCCACCUGUGGGAUGCCUAGAGAUAACAGGCAAUUGUGUCCAAAAAUGCAAUUACCAGAAGGGAAGAAAAAAGAGGUACUCUCUUUCCUGAGGAAUGGAAUCAUGAAAAGAGUCUUUCAUCAUGGACCAGAGUAUACUCAAAGCA